GUUUUUAACAAGGAAUACAGCAUCAUAUUUCCUUAAGAAGAAUAAAGAUUGUAUAUCUUUAAGGUGAAAAUUCUAACAAGGAGCAAACAGCAAAGAACUGAAAUGCUAUACAGACUCCAGUGAGAAAAAACUGAGGUAAUUGGUUUCGGUGUGCCGGUGCUUGAAACUCUAUCCCAGUGCUUCCUUCAACUAAGGCUGCAAAUUGAAAAUGUGAACAACCUUGCCUGCUUGAACCAGCCUGGGCUUGUGGCAGCAUCAUUCUGUCACUUAACUCUUCUCACAGAGGGAAAGAAGGCUACUGUCCAGUUUCUUCAAUGUCAGUUCCUUGUUUGCAUACAUUCUGAAGGUGCUAUGUGCUUCAAAAAUUCUUUGCCAGACUGGGAAAAUUGUGCUUUGGAAAUCAUUAAAUUUCAUCCUUUUAAAAAUACAGGUGUGAUUUUUCACUGGACGGAAA
rnacentral:lncRNA from 1 species